rnacentral:rRNA from 1 species
GAUGAACGCUCGCUACAGGCUUAACACAUGCAAGUCGAGGGGAAACGACAUCGAAAGCUUGCUUUUGAUGGGCGUCGACCGGCGCACGGGUGAGUAACGCGUAUCCAACCUGCCCACCACUUGGGGAUAACCUUGCGAAAGUAAGACUAAUACCCAAUGACGUCUCUAGAAGACAUCUGAAAGAGAUUAAAGAUUUAUCGGUGAUGGAUGGGGAUGCGUCUGAUUAGCUUGUUGGCGGGGUAACGGCCCACCAAGGCGACGAUCAGUAGGGGUUCUGAGAGGAAGGUCCCCCACAUUGGAACUGAGACACGGUCCAAACUCCUACGGGAGGCAGCAGUGAGGAAUAUUGGUCAAUGGACGAGAGUCUGAACCAGCCAAGUAGCGUGCAGGAUGACGGCCCUAUGGGUGGUAAACUGCUUUUAUAAGGGAAUAAAGUGAGUCUCGGGAGACUUUUUGCAUGUACCUUAUGAAUAAGGACCGGCUAAUUCCGUG